AUUAACCUAAAAUGCUGUCUAUCGGAAAUGCCUGAUGCUCUGACUCGAAAUGAGUCAACCGGGAGUAAUAUGAUACUAGAACUGGUGAUAUCUGCUUUUCCUAACUCUUCUUUGCAAUGAACCACUCAAACUAGUUCUUAAAUCGGACUGAACGCUCCGCUCGCAAUAGUUCUCGAGUCAACGGUACACUGAACUGAGAAUCGCCUCUUUCAAUCAAAGACCAUUCUGCAGUAUUGGAUCUGAGCACCGCUUUUAUUGAUUUGAUUAAGAAUGACUCAAUAUUCUCAAAAUAAUCAACUCUCAACAAAGAGGAACUUAAAUGGGGAUCAUCAAAGUGAUCAUGUGCAAGACCUGGAAUAAUGACGGACAAGUCACCUGGAGUCCUUUUAUGACACUACUUUUUAGGUGCACUUUUAUUUUAUUUUUUUUUAGCUUUAAAGUUAGUUUUGUGCUCUGCAGAAGUUAGUUAUUUGCAUUUGAGUUGACAUGAGUGUGGUAAAUAAUGAAAGAAUUAAAAAUUGAGUGAACUAUUCCUUAAAUGUUGUUACCUAGAUGGUUUGUGCUGCAUUAAAAGAAAAACCAAGUGGAGAAGAUGUCCUUGAAGAGUACAAAGCCACAAAUACAUUGUCAAAUGAGAUGAAAUGAGUUCUUGCCAACAUAUUGGUGGGGCUCUUGACAGAGACACAGAGUAUUCCAACCCGAAAGCGGAGAGAGCAAUAUACCCUUGGAAGUGACUGUUUCCAUCAUUGAAAUGCCCAUAUUUGAAGAAGGUAUGUGUAAAAUGGAUUAUAUUUUUUACACUAUAUAUUUUAAUUAAUUUGUUUAUCUAAAAGAUAAUUGAUGCCUGACACUGUAAUUUCACCCUUUCAAAGGAUUGGUGGGUAAUAUUUAAACAAGCAGGUGAAUGUUGCUUCUCAUGCAUCAGAAGUGUCUAAUUCUGAUAAAGGUUAUUCAAGGUCAGUCAAGACAUCAUUCUUCUCUUCGAUGUUGAAACAUUCUCCAAGCUCUUGGAGAGGUGGAACAGUACCUUAAAGCCAAAAAUGAUCCAAGAAGCGAGAUGCCUGACUCCGACACCUGCUGUUCAUCACCUCCUGAUGUCAGCUGAGAAAAACCCAGAGAAUGCCAUUUGAUUCUUGUAAAUUGAAAUGGUCAAAGUUAAGAUUAGUUCAGAUCAGACUCAUGAUUGUUGAAGUCUUCUCAUUCCAGUCUAGAGCACAUUAUUAUCACUUCUAUCAAAGUAGAGAAUGUGUCAGUUGUUGUUUUUUGCUUUUGUUUUACUACAGCUUGGAACAGUGAUUUGUUCACUGGCUACAAAAAUAAGUGCCUCUGAUGCAGCUGAUAGACUUGUGGCAUUUUAUAAGUCAUGCUGCAGCAUUUAUGAGCAUCUAGAUACAAGCUCAAAGUUAUCUUCUAGCCAUGGGGAGAAGUAGAGGCAAUAUUGACAACUACUACAUCGCCCUGGAUAAGAAGCUGAUCCCUUGUCAAGUGCUGUCUACAAGAUAGAUGUUGGCAAAACAAAAGUCUCCAAGAGUGAAAGAACUGAGAGUUAUGCUACUCAGUGAACAUUACUAUGCAUUGAGAGUGGUUGAUGGUAAUGCACAGGAUUCAGAAUGCCUAUGGACCAACAACACACAUGUUGUGCCUUUGCAUUGUUUUUUUUCUAGACAGUGUAAUGUGUGAAUUGUUGUAAACAAUUGUGUUGUGAACUCUACAAUUGUUUUACAUAUUUACAUGUAUUGAAAACA